AAUCAACGCUGGCGGCGUGCCUAACACAUGCAAGUCGAACGCGAAAGCCCCGCAAGGGGUAAGUAGAGUGGCAAACGGGUGAGUAACACGUGGGUGACCUGCCUUCGAGUGGGGGAUAACGUCCCGAAAGGGACGCUAAUACCGCAUGACAUCCUGCUUUUGAAAAAGCGGAGAUCAAAGCUGGGGAUCGCAAGACCUAGCGCUUGAAGAGGGGCCCGCGCCUGAUUAGCUAGUUGGUGAGGUAACGGCUCACCAAGGCGACGAUCAGUAUCCGGCCUGAGAGGGCGGACGGACACACUGGGACUGAGACACGGCCCAGACUCCUACGGGAGGCAGCAGUGGGGAAUUGUUCGCAAUGGGCGCAAGCCUGACGACGCAACGCCGCGUGGAGGACGAAGAUCUUCGGGUCGUAAACUCCUGUCGAGCGGGACGAACGCUUCGCGGAUGAAUAAUCCGCGGAAUUGACGGUACCGCUAAAGGAAGCCUCGGCUAACUCCGUG
rnacentral:rRNA from 1 species